rnacentral:rRNA from 1 species
UGGGGAAUUUUGGACAAUGGGGGCAACCCUGAUCCAGCGACGCCGCGUGGAGGACGAAGGUCUUCGGAUUGUAAACUCCUUUUGACAGGGAUGAAUGACGCCGUGAAUAACGGCGAGUGACAGUACUUGUUGAAUAAGCCACGGCUAACUACGUGCCAGCAGCCGCGGUAAUACGUAGGUGGCAAGCGAUACUCGGAAUCACUAGGCGUAAAGCGCAGGUAGGCGGUUUGAUAAGUCUUUUGUGAAAGCUCCCGGCUUAACUGGGAGAGGUCAAGGGAAACUGUCAGGCUAGAGUUUGGUAGGGGAUACUGGAAUUCCUGGUGUAGCGGUGAAAUGCGUAGAUAUCAGGAGGAAUACCUAUGGCGAAAGCAGGUAUCUGGGCCACAACUGACGCUGAGCUGCGAAAGCUAGGGGAGCAAACAGGAUUAGAUACCCCCGUAGUCC